GUCUUUUUGAUUAUAAUUUAAAGUCUAACCUGCCCAAUGAGUAUUUGAAUGGCCGCGGUAAUUUGACCGUGCAAAGGUAGCAUAAUCAUUAGUUUUUUAAUUGAAAGCUGGAAUGAAUGGUUGGACGAGAAAAUAACUGUCUCAAUUUAAUUGUAUAUAGAAUUUUAUCUAUAAGUAAAAAAGCUUAUAUAAUUUUAAAAGACGAGAAGACCCUAUAGAGUUUUAUAUUUUAUUUUAUUAAUUAAUUUUAGUAUACUUAUGUUUUUAAUAUAAUAAAGUAUUUUGCUGGGGCAGCAGAGAAAUUAAAUAAACUUUUUUUAUUACUAUUACAUUGAUUAAUGGUUUAAUGAUCCAUUUUUUAUGAUUAUAAGAUUAAAUUACCUUAGGGAUAACAGCGUAAUUUUUUUUUAGAGUUCUUAUCGAAAAAAGAGUUUGCGACCUCGAUGUUGGAUUAAAAUUAACUUUUGGUGUAGAAGCUAAAAGGUUAGGUCUGUUCGACCUUUAAAAUUUUACAUGAUCUGAGU
rnacentral:rRNA from 1 species